rnacentral:rRNA from 1 species
UACAGAGGGUGCAAGCGUUGUUCGGAAUUAUUGGGCGUAAAGCGCGUGUAGGCGGCUUGGCAAGUCGGGUGUGAAAGCCCUCAGCUCAACUGAGGAAGUGCGCCCGAAACUGCUGAGCUUGAGUGCCGGAGAGGGUGGCGGAAUUCCCCAAGUAGAGGUGAAAUUCGUAGAUAUGGGGAGGAACACCGGUGGCGAAGGCGGCCACCUGGACGGUCACUGACGCUGAGGCGCGAAAGCUAGGGGAGCAAACAGG